rnacentral:rRNA from 1 species
GAUGAACGCUGGCGGCGUGCUUAACACAUGCAAGUCGAACGAAGCAUUUGCGACAGGUUUUUUCGGAAUGCAGUUGCUUAUGACUGAGUGGCGGACGGGUGAGUAACGCGUGGGUAACCUGCCUUGUACUGGGGGAUAGCAGCUGGAAACGGCUGGUAAUACCGCAUAAGCGCACAAUGUUGCAUGACAUGGUGUGAAAAACUCCGGUGGUAUAAGAUGGACCCGCGUCUGAUUAGCUAGUUGGUGAGAUAACAGCCCACCAAGGCGACGAUCAGUAGCCGACCUGAGAGGGUGACCGGCCACAUUGGGACUGAGACACGGCCCAGACUCCUACGGGAGGCAGCAGUGGGGAAUAUUGCACAAUGGAGGAAACUCUGAUGCAGCGACGCCGCGUGAGUGAAGAAGUAAUUCGUUAUGUAAAGCUCUAUCAGCAGGGAAGAUAGUGACGGUACCUGACGAAGAAGCUCCGGCUAAAUACGUG